AGCGUACACGGUGGAUGCCCUGGCAGUCAGAGGCGAUGAAGGACGUGCUAAUCUGCGAUAAGCGUCGGUAAGGUGAUAUGAACCGUUAUAACCGGCGAUUUCCGAAUGGGGAAACCCAGUGUGUUUCGACACACUAUCAUUAACUGAAUCCAUAGGUUAAUGAGGCGAACCGGGGGAACUGAAACAUCUAAGUACCCCGAGGAAAAGAAAUCAACCGAGAUUCCCCCAGUAGCGGCGAGCGAACGGGGAGCAGCCCAGAGCCUGAAUCAGUGUGUGUGUUAGUGGAAGCGUCUGGAAAGGCGCGCGAUACAGGGUGACAGCCCCGUACACAAAAAUGCACAUGCUGUGAGCUCGAUGAGUAGGGCGGGACACGUGGUAUCCUGUCUGAAUAUGGGGGGACCAUCCUCCAAGGCUAAAUACUCCUGACUGACCGAUAGUGAACCAGUACCGUGAGGGAAAGGCGAAAAGAACCCCGGCGAGGGGAGUGAAAAAGAACCUGAAACCGUGUACGUACAAGCAGUGGGAGCACGCUUAGGCGUGUGACUGCGUACCUUUUGUAUAAUGGGUCAGCGACUUAUAUUCUGUAGCAAGGUUAACCGAAUAGGGGAGCCGAAGGGAAACCGAGUCUUAACUGGGCGUUAAGUUGCAGGGUAUAGACCCGAAACCCGGUGAUCUAGCCAUGGGCAGGUUGAAGGUUGGGUAACACUAACUGGAGGACCGAACCGACUAAUGUUGAAAAAUUAGCGGAUGACUUGUGGCUGGGGGUGAAAGGCCAAUCAAACCGGGAGAUAGCUGGUUCUCCCCGAAAGCUAUUUAGGUAGCGCCUCGUGAAUUCAUCUCCGGGGGUAGAGCACUGUUUCGGCAAGGGGGUCAUCCCGACUUACCAACCCGAUGCAAACUGCGAAUACCGGAGAAUGUUAUCACGGGAGACACACGGCGGGUGCUAACGUCCGUCGUGAAGAGGGAAACAACCCAGACCGCCAGCUAAGGUCCCAAAGUCAUGGUUAAGUGGGAAACGAUGUGGGAAGGCCCAGACAGCCAGGAUGUUGGCUUAGAAGCAGCCAUCAUUUAAAGAAAGCGUAAUAGCUCACUGGUCGAGUCGGCCUGCGCGGAAGAUGUAACGGGGCUAAACCAUGCACCGAAGCUGCGGCAGCGACACUAUGUGUUGUUGGGUAGGGGAGCGUUCUGUAAGCCUGCGAAGGUGUGCUGUGAGGCAUGCUGGAGGUAUCAGAAGUGCGAAUGCUGACAUAAGUAACGAUAAAGCGGGUGAAAAGCCCGCUCGCCGGAAGACCAAGGGUUCCUGUCCAACGUUAAUCGGGGCAGGGUGAGUCGACCCCUAAGGCGAGGCCGAAAGGCGUAGUCGAUGGGAAACAGGUUAAUAUUCCUGUACUUGGUGUUACUGCGAAGGGGGGACGGAGAAGGCUAUGUUGGCCGGGCGACGGUUGUCCCGGUUUAAGCGUGUAGGCUGGUUUUCCAGGCAAAUCCGGAAAAUCAAGGCUGAGGCGUGAUGACGAGGCACUACGGUGCUGAAGCAACAAAUGCCCUGCUUCCAGGAAAAGCCUCUAAGCAUCAGGUAACAUCAAAUCGUACCCCAAACCGACACAGGUGGUCAGGUAGAGAAUACCAAGGCGCUUGAGAGAACUCGGGUGAAGGAACUAGGCAAAAUGGUGCCGUAACUUCGGGAGAAGGCACGCUGAUAUGUAGGUGAAGCGACUUGCUCGUGGAGCUGAAAUCAGUCGAAGAUACCAGCUGGCUGCAACUGUUUAUUAAAAACACAGCACUGUGCAAACACGAAAGUGGACGUAUACGGUGUGACGCCUGCCCGGUGCCGGAAGGUUAAUUGAUGGGGUUAGCGCAAGCGAAGCUCUUGAUCGAAGCCCCGGUAAACGGCGGCCGUAACUAUAACGGUCCUAAGGUAGCGAAAUUCCUUGUCGGGUAAGUUCCGACCUGCACGAAUGGCGUAAUGAUGGCCAGGCUGUCUCCACCCGAGACUCAGUGAAAUUGAACUCGCUGUGAAGAUGCAGUGUACCCGCGGCAAGACGGAAAGACCCCGUGAACCUUUACUAUAGCUUGACACUGAACAUUGAGCCUUGAUGUGUAGGAUAGGUGGGAGGCUUUGAAGUGUGGACGCCAGUCUGCAUGGAGCCGACCUUGAAAUACCACCCUUUAAUGUUUGAUGUUCUAACGUGGACCCGUAAUCCGGGUUGCGGACAGUGUCUGGUGGGUAGUUUGACUGGGGCGGUCUCCUCCUAAAGAGUAACGGAGGAGCACGAAGGUUGGCUAAUCCUGGUCGGACAUCAGGAGGUUAGUGCAAUGGCAUAAGCCAGCUUGACUGCGAGCGUGACGGCGCGAGCAGGUGCGAAAGCAGGUCAUAGUGAUCCGGUGGUUCUGAAUGGAAGGGCCAUCGCUCAACGGAUAAAAGGUACUCCGGGGAUAACAGGCUGAUACCGCCCAAGAGUUCAUAUCGACGGCGGUGUUUGGCACCUCGAUGUCGGCUCAUCACAUCCUGGGGCUGAAGUAGGUCCCAAGGGUAUGGCUGUUCGCCAUUUAAAGUGGUACGCGAGCUGGGUUUAGAACGUCGUGAGACAGUUCGGUCCCUAUCUGCCGUGGGCGCUGGAGAACUGAGGGGGGCUGCUCCUAGUACGAGAGGACCGGAGUGGACGCAUCACUGGUGUUCGGGUUGUCAUGCCAAUGGCACUGCCCGGUAGCUAAAUGCGGAAGAGAUAAGUGCUGAAAGCAUCUAAGCACGAAACUUGCCCCGAGAUGAGUUCUCCCUGACUCCUUGA
rnacentral:rRNA from 1 species